UUUUGAUUAUAAUUUAAAGUCUAACCUGCCCUAUGAUUUAUUAUUAAAUGGCCGCGAUAUUUUGAUCGUGCAAAGGUAGCAUAAUAAUUAGUUUUUUAAUUGAGAACUGGUAUGAAUGGUUGAACGAGAAAAAAACUGUCUCAAUUUAAUUUAAAUUAGAAUUUUAUUUUUAAGUUAAAAAGCUUAAAUAUUUUUAAAAGACGAGAAGACCCUAUAGAGUUUUAUAUAAAUUAUUAUUUUAAAAAAUUUUAGAAUUUUAAAUUUAAUUAUAAUAAUUUAUAUUUAAUUGGGGUGAUUAAAAAAUUUAAAGAACUUUUUUUAAAUUUAAACAUAAAUUUAUGAAUAAAUGAUCC
rnacentral:rRNA from 1 species